ACCCGAUCCCAUCCCGAACUCGGCAGUGAAACCGCUUAGCGCCAAUGAUAGUGUGGCAGUUUGCCAUGCGAAAGUAGGGAAUCGCCAGGC
rnacentral:rRNA from 1 species